GUGGGGAAUUUUGGACAAUGGGCGCAAGCCUGAUCCAGCGAUGCCGCGUGCAGGAAGAAGGCCUUCGGGUUGUAAACUGCUUUUGUACGGAACGAAACGGUCCGGGUUAAUACCCUGGGCUAAUGACGGUACCGUAAGAAUAAGCACCGGCUAACUACGUGCCAGCAGCCGCGGUAAUACGUAGGGUGCAAGCGUUAAUCGGAAUUACUGGGCGUAAAGCGUGCGCAGGCGGUUUUGUAAGACAGGCGUGAAAUCCCCGGGCUCAACCUGGGAAUUGCGCUUGUGACUGCAAGGCUGGAGUGCGGCAGAGGGGGAUGGAAUUCCGCGUGUAGCAGUGAAAUGCGUAGAUAUGCGGAGGAACACCGAUGGCGAAGGCAAUCCCCUGGGCCUGCACUGACGCUCAUGCACGAAAGCGUGGGGAGCAAACAGGAUUAGAUACCCCUGUAGUCC
rnacentral:rRNA from 1 species